GCCCGGCCCUGUGUUUUGAACGGUUCGAUGCGGGCGGCUCACUAUUUGGCAGGAAGGUGAGGAGGCCUCUAUCCUGGCGGCGGAGCUGGCGUAGGGAGAGGGGGAUCCAAAUGUGGCAGAGGCGAGCAGGAGGCAGCGGCGGCGGAGGGGGGCAAGCGAGACAAGGGGAGCGGCCGUCCCCGCUGCCGCCGCGGAGCAGCUGAGCGGCCUGGCAAGGCGGGGGGCUGCGGCUGCGCUGGCAUCUCCCGGGCCGCCCGCCUGGCACCCCCGGGCGCCCGUCCCGCCGGCAGUGAUUGUUUGAAGUACUUGGACAUAUAUUGGAGAACUGGACAAUAUAUUGGACAUAUAUUGUCAAGAUUCCUAACUUCUAUGUGCAGGAAACUGUAGAAGAUACUUGAGGUCUCUGAUGAACCAGGCUUCAACUUCUGCUAAUUUGAGUACUAUAAUUGAAAAUACAUCUUCUACAUUUGAGGAAGGACAAAUUCAUGAUUGAAUGGUGGAUUAAUAAGUAGCUAUCUUCUUCCAAGAGUAAGAAGAUACCUUGGGAGUUGGGAAGAACUGGAUUUUCACCCUAGUCCAGCAGCUUUGCUGCUCACUUAAACACAGAUGAAUGAAGACCCCAUUUGGAAAAUCACCAGGUCAGCGGUCCAGAGCUGAUGCAGGUCAUACAGGAGUGUCUGCCAGCAUGAUGAAGAAAAGAACUUCCCACAAAGAAAGGAGUGUAUGAUGGGAAGACUAUCAGAGAAAGCAUAGAAACAAUGUGGGACCAAGCAAACCUAUUUCUCAGCCACGAAGAAAUAUUGUAGGCUGCAGAAUACAGCAUGGAUGGAAAGAAGGUAGUGGACCUGUAACACAGUGGAAGGGCACAGUUCUUGAUCAAGUUCCUGUAAAUCCCUCUCUCUAUCUUAUAAAGUAUGAUGGAUUUGACUGUGUGUAUGGACUAGAACUGCACAAAGAUGAAAGAGUUUCAGCACUUGAAGUUCUUCCAGACAGAGUUGCUUCAUCUCGAAUUAGUGAUGCCCACCUGGCAGACACAAUGAUUGGUAAAGCUGUGGAACAUAUGUUUGAGACAGAGGAUGGCUCAAAAGAUGAGUGGAGGGGGAUGGUUUUGGCUCGAGCUCCUAUUAUGAACACAUGGUUUUAUAUCACCUACGAGAAAGAUCCCGUCUUGUACAUGUACCAACUCUUAGAUGAUUAUAAAGAAGGUGACCUUCGCAUUAUGCCUGAUUCAAAUGAUUCACCUCCUGCAGAACGGGAACCAGGUGAAGUUGUGGACAGCCUGGUAGGCAAACAAGUGGAAUAUGCCAAAGAAGAUGGCUCAAAAAGGACUGGCAUGGUCAUUCAUCAAGUUGAAGCCAAACCAUCUGUCUAUUUCAUCAAGUUUGAUGAUGAUUUCCAUAUUUAUGUCUACGAUUUGGUGAAGACAUCCUAGACAUCAUCGUGAACUUUUGCCAAAUUUGUGGAACUAUUAAAUGUAAAAUUUGUAGACACAAAGACUUGACUGCUUUCCAGUUUAAUGAAAGCUUAAAUGUCCCUGCGAACCCACAAUCUCUGCCAGCAAAACUGUUUUGUUCUGAAUAAUAUAAACAAACGUGACAUUUUGUGUAAGAGAGCUCUUUUCUUGAAGGAAGUCAAUAUAUUUGGGCAGGAGGGAGUUAAAAGCAAAGAACAGCUGCAAAUUCAAGCUGUGUAAAGUUGAUCUAGUAUUGUAACCGUUAAUCUAAAUUUUUUCAUAGAUUUUAACUUUUUCUUCAACCUUGCACUCACUUGUUCAACUGCCACAUGCAAGUAUAGUUUGAUAUUUUGAUAUGCCUUCUUUUGUAACAUUAAAUUUAAUUUCUUGGCUACUGGCAGUCCUUGUUUUCAGGGUUGGAACAGAGGUGACUUUUCUGAAAGGUUUCAACAGUUUAAUCAGCAUUGAGGAGUGCCUAACCCAAAUAACAUCAAUCUGCUGUGUUUCUACACUUUAGUUCAAAUUUAGCUUUUUAAGAACUUGCAGUACAUAGAAAUACUUGUGCAUUUUUACUAGUCACAGGGCAGUGUUUGACUUAAUGCACCUUUCAGUGAAAAGGCUUUAAACUAUAAAAAUGCAUUUAGUCUGUGUAACCAGUUAAUUAGAAAAUGCAGGUUAAUGGCCCAUAUUGACAAGUUGUAGGAACCAGUAAAACACAUGCCACAAGGCUGCCUUCAAUUCUAAAUGUUGUACUACUUUCUUUCUUCGUUAUACACACUUCUUAACAAAACCCAAGUGCUUGGUGCCACAACUUUAACAGUAUAUAUGCUACUUCAGAAGACUUUAGACUACGCAUUGGCAAUCGGUAGUCUCUCAUUUAAUAUCAAAACCUAGCAACCUGAAUGUUUAUGUGUGGACUUAGAAGCCUAACAGUAGUUAAAUAAAUAAAUACAAUCUCAUGCCAGGGGAGUGGGGAGGGAGUGUCAUUUCACAUUGAAGACUUACUUUAGAGAAGGAGAAGCAUUUGUUGCCUUCUGCUCAGUCUAUUGUAUUCCUUUGUUUUGUUCUAAACCAUUUUGGUUCAAGAAGGCAUCUUCCCAAUUCAUUCUUUUUCUGGCUUUUCCACAUAAGGAGUGUCUGGACAAAUCUACAGCUUAAACCUAUUGUUGCCUUUUGUGGUGUACAUUGUACUUGCUUUGAGGUAUGCUGUUAACGUGAAUUUCAUUCUAUGAACACUAGAGUUCUGCAUGCCAGUGGUGUACUAUCUAAUGGAAGCUGUAGGCAGUCUCAGUGGUUCAGUCAUCUGCAUUAAAUUGUGGAUGUAAAUAGCAGCCCACAACAGCAAAAUCCUGUCAUGGUUUUAAUCUUGCAAGUUAGUUGUAAAUGAAAAUUGAAGGGUUUUAUGUGUGGCAGUCUUUAAAAGUAUCAGAAUUGCAACAAGGAUCAGCACAGCAACAAAAUCGUCAUGUUACAUUAAGGCAGAGCUCUGCAAGUUUCAAAGAACUGCUUCACAGAAAUACAGUAUGUGAAGACAGUCAACACUGUUGAUGGAAGGAACAAAUACUCUGAUAUCCAACCAUGUGCCAUUAGUGGAAGGAUGCAGGAGAGGUGCUGUUAAUCAGAGAUCAGAGGUCCCAGUGACCUCUGUUGUGGGUGUUCUUGAUAUUGAAGACUCAGUGGUUUAAGCCCCUUUCUGUCAAUUUUUUUGCCUGAUUUCAUAUUUUAGCCUUAAGGCUUGUGCCUCAUUAUGCUGUUGAAUGGUAAUAAAUACUCUCCAUAUAAAUACGAUACCUUAAUUCUUUGUCCAUUGCUACUAUAUUGCAUAUGUCCAGUAUUUCAUCAUGGGCAACCAAAGGCAGGCUGUUGUCUUUCAGUGAAUAGCUUCUCAAUGCAGUCCUUGAGCACUAGGUACCCAAGUCGUAAAUGUUCUUUGCGUUUUGAACAAAGUGAGCAGAUUUGCAACACAGUGUUUUCAUCCUGCAGAUCUGUUAUGUGUUUUCUAUUGACUCUUAAGAGUCCUGCAUGUAAAUCUCAAAGCUGAGCCUGGCUCCAUGAGCCCAAGUUGAUAUCUGUGGCACAAGAAUGAGUGAGUGUAUUGAUUAUACACAAGAUACAUGAAUAACCUAGUACACUGAACUUUGGGCUAUAUAUCUGAGGAAUACAAGGUUUGUUUUGAAAUAUCUGAGGUUUAGGUCUACUGGAACAUUUUUAGCAUUAGGCUUGCAUUUGUGGGUUUUCUGCAAGCCUCUUGAUUACACCAUGUAUUCUACCAAUUAGAGUAUAAUCUAAAAACUGUAAAUUUAAUGGUUGUUUUUGGAUGUCCCCAUUGUCUGUUGCGUGGGUAUUUCUUUUCUUUUUUUUUUUUUUUUUUUUUUCUUUUUUUGAUAGCUUAAACCACCUUUUUUGAGGCUUGAGACUAAUUCCACUCCCUGCCCAUCUGCUUUGGGCUUUGUUUUAGGCUCAUGUUUCAGAUCUGCAUGCAGUGCUUGCGUUACCCUGGUAACUAAAUGUUGGUUCCUUGUUAUAGGGGUUCAACAUUACUUUCCAAAACCACAUAGGGCUUGUGAUGGCACAAGCCAUGGAUCUUUGUAUAAAAGUUACUCGCCUUUCACAUUUACCUGCUGUAGUAUUGUUGUAUAUUGUGUGUGUGCGUGUGUGUGACGUCAGGCUGCCAUGUAAAACCUUUUAAAAGGGAAAAAAAAAAAAAAAAUGCAGACCAUCCUUUUUUGCAUGCUUAGAGGGUUAGAACAUUCAGUGUAACAAACUAAAGUUGCAUGUUAAAAUGUUUAGGUUUUUGUUUUGUUCUGUUUUUAUUUUGUGUUCAGUUUUUUGUGAAUUUGCUUAUUGUGCUGUUUUAAUGGUUGUUAGUAGGAUUAAAUGCACCGGUGAGACGAGCAUAGUGCCAACGGAAGGUAAUUUUCCAGUUGUAUGUGUCAUACAGCAUUUGAAGGGACCAAGUAUUCUGUUAAAGAAAAAAUAAAAUUGCAGUUGAUUAACACAACACUACAUUUUUCUUCUUUCUUUUGAGUGCCAAGGCCUAAACAAUGGUGGAGUAGACUAUGGGGAAAACCCUUUUUGGGUUGGUUUUUUUUGUUGGGUUUUUUUUUUUGUUUGUUUGUUUGUUUUUUGGGUUGGUUGGUUUUGGGGUUUUUUUGUUUUUUCAAUAGCUAGAAGCCUCCUUUAAGAGAAUUAUUUAAAAAUGGAGGCUUUAUCUUCAGAUAGAAUUGACUAGUUGCUUCAGGGGAAAAGAAUUAUGGUAAAAACAGUUUCUGGUUCCUUGAAAAUGCUGUGCUUUUUGUAUUUUACAUCAUUAGUGCAAUUUGGAUGGUUCUUGGUAUGUGUAUAGUUCAAAGGUCUUCGUGUUCACAUUUUUAAAUUAGGUAAUGACUUCAUCUUUAGAGCUUGGUUUCAUUAUUUUUAUUUUAUUUUGAACAAUGUAGACAGUUCCCUGUUCUCUGCAUUUAGAAGUAUAAACACUUUAAAUCUGUUACUUAAUUCUGUAAGUAAUUUUUAUAAUUAUGAUGUAACUCUAUCCUUAAAACAUUUAAAAUAAACCCUUUAUGUGCAA